rnacentral:misc_RNA from 1 species
GAUGAAGAACGCAGCGAAAUGCGAUAAGUAAUGUGAAUUGCAGAAUUCAGUGAAUCAUCGAAUCUUUGAACGCACAUUGCGCCCGCCAGUAUUCUGGCGGGCAUGCCUGUUCGAGCGUCAUUACAACCCUCAGGCCCCCGGGCCUGGCGUUGGGGAUCGGCGGAGCCCCCCGUGGGCACACGCCGUCCCCCAAAUGCAGUGGCGGUCCCGCCGCAGCUUCUAUCGCGUAGUAGCUAACACCUCGCGACUGGAGAGCGGCGCGGCCACGCCGUAAAACACCCAACUCUUCUGAAGUUGACCUCGAAUCAGGUAGGAAUACCCGCUGAACUUAAGCAUAUCAAUAAGCGGAGGA